UGCCAGACUCCUACGGGAGGCAGCAGUGGGGAAUAUUGCACAAUGGGGGGAACCUUGAUGCAGCAACGCCGCGUGGGUGAAGAAGUACUCCGGUAUGUAAAGCCCUGUCAGCAGGGAAGAAAAUGACGGUACCUGACCAAGAAGCCCCGGCUAACUACGUGCCAGCAGCCGCGGUAAUACGUAGGGGGCGAGCGUUAUCCGGAUUUACUGGGUGUAAAGGGAGCGUAGACGGCGUCGCAAGUCUGAAGUGAAAGCCCGUGGCUCAACCGCGGAACCGCUUUGGAAACUGCGAGGCUGGAGUGCUGGAGAGGUAAGCGGAAUUCCUGGUGUAGCGGUGAAAUGCGUAGAUAUCAGGAGGAACACCGGUGGCGAAGGCGGCUUACUGGACAGUGACUGACGUUGAGGCUCGAAAGCGUGGGGAGCGAACAGGAUUAGAUACCCGCGUA
rnacentral:rRNA from 1 species